rfam:Gossypium arboreum cultivar AKA8401 contig_13047_1, whole genome shotgun sequence.
UGUUAAAAAUUUCAUCCAUUUGUGUUGUUAAAAACUGAUGUGACUGUGUAACUAAUAGAAUAAUCAAAUAAUGACAUGUGUGUUGCCACGUAUACCUCAUGCUAACAUACAAUGACCGAUUUUUAACAGUAGAAAUAGAUAUAAUUUUUAACU